rnacentral:rRNA from 1 species
GACGAACGCUGGCGGCGUGCUUAACACAUGCAAGUCGAACGGAAAGGCCCUGCUUUUGUGGGGUGCUCGAGUGGCGAACGGGUGAGUAACACGUGAGUAACCUGCCCUUGACUUUGGGAUAACUUCAGGAAACUGGGGCUAAUACCGGAUAGGAGCUCCUGCUGCAUGGUGGGGGUUGGAAAGUUUCGGCGGUUGGGGAUGGACUCGCGGCUUAUCAGCUUGUUGGUGGGGUAGUGGCUUACCAAGGCUUUGACGGGUAGCCGGCCUGAGAGGGUGACCGGCCACAUGGGGACUGAGAUACGGCCCGGACUCUUACGGGAGGAAGCGGGGGGGAAUAUGGCACAAUGGGCGGAGGCCGGAUGCAGAAACGCGGCGUGCGGGAUGACGGCCUUCGGGUGGUAAACCGCUUUCGCCUGUGACGAAGCGUGAGUGACGGUAAUGGGAAAAGAAGCACCGGCUAACUACGU